ACGGGUGAGUAAUGCCUAGGAAAUUGCCCUGAUGUGGGGGAUAACCAUUGGAAACGAUGGCUAAUACCGCAUGAUGCCUACGGGCCAAAGAGGGGGACCUUCGGGCCUCUCGCGUCAGGAUAUGCCUAGGUGGGAUUAGCUAGUUGGUGAGGUAAGGGCUCACCAAGGCGACGAUCCCUAGCUGGUCUGAGAGGAUGAUCAGCCACACUGGAACUGAGACACGGUCCAGACUCCUACGGGAGGCAGCAGUGGGGAAUAUUGCACAAUGGGCGCAAGCCUGAUGCAGCCAUGCCGCGUGUGUGAAGAAGGCCUUCGGGUUGUAAAGC
rnacentral:rRNA from 1 species